GCCAUCGUAGCUCAGGGGUAGAGCACUUCCUUGGUAAGGAAGAGGUCGCCGGUUCGAUCCCGGCCGAUGGCU
rnacentral:tRNA from 1 species